GAUGACUUUUUAUCUGCUGAAUGUACAAUACAAAGUAAGAAGGUUAUUACAUGAUAGGAAAAAUUCAAUUCUAAAGCUGAACCAGCCUUUAGUGGGUCACUCAAAAUAUUAAACAACUACAUCUACUUAUUUCCACAAAUCAUGUUUGUAUUUGGAAGUACAACAAACACAAUCUGUGCCAAAUGAAAAACAAAACAAGUGGAACUAUCUACAUGCCAUUGUACAACAAUCACAGGACUCUAAAAUAUAUUUUCUAACUGACUUUUACAAGAUAGGUAUGGUAUGGUACAGAGAGACCUAAUAUAUGCCCCAGAAAAGUGAGUUUUCAGACUGAUAUAGUACAGCCUAAUUCCCUAGCAGCAGUAUCAAGAAAUUGAGCAGACAUUCCAUUUUCAAGCCGGCUACUAGCUUCACACAUCAAACACUUCUCAAUAUCCGCUUUCCAGUCAAUGAUGCUUAUGCUAAGGUACUGAUAAGCAGGAUUAUGGAUGGCAUUAACAUCUGCUGCUUGUUUGGCACUUGGUUUUACUGAACCAGCAUACAUAAUGUCACGAAGAACUGAUGUACUGAGAGCACGGACAUGUGCA
rnacentral:misc_RNA from 1 species